rnacentral:rRNA from 1 species
UACGGAGGGGCGAGCGUUAUUCGGAAUUAUUGGGCGUAAAGGGCGCGUAGGCGGCGCGAUAAGUCAAAGGUGAAAUCCCUCGGCUCAACUGAGGAACUGCCUUUGAGACUGUCGUGCUCGAGGCCAGGAGGGGGUAGCGGAAUUCCCAGUGUAGCGGUGAAAUGCGUAGAUAUCAAGAGGAACACCCAGUGGCGAAGGCGAGUCCCUGGACGAUACCUGA